rnacentral:rRNA from 1 species
GAUGAACGCUGGCGGCGUGCCUAAUACAUGCAAGUCGAGCGAACAGACGAGGAGCUUGCUCCUCUGACGUUAGCGGCGGACGGGUGAGUAACACGUGGAUACCCUACCUAUAAGACUGGGAUAAUUUCGGGAAACCGGAGCUAAUCCCGGAUAAUAUCUUGCACCGCAUGGUUCAAUAGUGAAAGACGGUUUUGCUGUCACUUAUAGAUGGAUCCGCGCCGCAUUAGCUAGUUGGUACGGUAACGGCUUAUCAAGGCAACUAGGCGUAGCCGACGUGAUAGGCGGAUAGCCCACACGGGAGCUGGGACAGGCUCCAUACGCCUACGGGAGGCAGCAGUAGGGAAUCGGCCGCAAUGGGCGGAAGCCUGACGGAGCAGCGCCGCGUGAGUGAUAAAGGUCUUCGGAGCGGAAAACCCUGUUAUGAGGGAAGAACAAAUGUGUAAGUAACUAUGCACGUCGUGACGGUACCUAAUCAGAAAGCCACGGCUAACUACGUG